AUGGCAGAGGAGACUCCAGGGGGUGGGGAUGCCAAUGCCAGGACGAGGAGGGUUAAAGAGGAGCCUAGAGGGUUGCGAACCCACGAGGGGAUGAGGCCUGGUCUUGUGGAAACUGAACUUAGCUUCGCGGGCCGACAGCUCUGGCCUAGGGUGCCAGUGUUCCCAUUUGGACUUUUCUCUCUAGCUUCGGUGCUAACUUCUUGUUCAUCGUGGUGAUCAGAUGGCACCAGGAGAAUUGGAGCCCUUGGCCAGUGUGAGUCGUAGCAGUGCAGGAGGGGAGACCCUGAAGGAGAGAUCCCGCCUAAGUGGAUGUCUGCAGAUUGAAUUUCCAGAGUCUUAAGAGGUGGAAGUUCUCCUGUGUCCCGUUUCCAGGCCUUGCUCAGGAAGCCCUAUAUUCAGGAGGCCAUUUAAGGUUUUCAGAUGAGCUUAUGAGGGGGCAGUCCUUCAAGGUCCAAAGCAGAUGUGUCCGGCCGCCCGCAGAUGUGUUUGAUUGUCUGAUCCAGGAGCAUCAACUUCCAGGCUCAUGAAUGCCAGCAGACACCCCUCCUUUUUUCUGGGGUGGAGGUUUUCAGAUGCUGCAUCUUCUAAAUUGAGCCCCCAGUCAUAACUAGUUCUGGGCUACGAAAUUUGAGCUUCAAGAAGAAUCUUAAAAGCUGUAGGACAUUCUAACAUGCCUCAAUGCAGAGUGAUGCCUUGUAGGUGAAUCUUGCAGAUGGAGCCCAGUGACCCUCUCACCUACCCUGCUUCUCGCCUGCCUACCUGCCCUGCCCGCCUGUGCAUUGUUUGGAGGAAUUAGUGUUCUAGUCUAACCUGUAUUUUGGGAACGUGUUCACAUUUGAAAUGCUUUAGGCAAUACUUAUGCAUACUGGCAAAUUGGGGGAGGGGAAUCGUGUUUUGCUGCUACAGUCUUGGGUAUAAGUUGGUUGUGGCCAAAUUGUUAGAAAUGACAGGUCUAUUUUGGGCAUUCCAAUUGCAUUGCAGAUAAUAAGCAAAGGGAAUGGUUGGGGUACUACCAGUGAUCUUUAGUUCUAUGUAUUUUGUAAUGUGAAUUUAAUUUCUAGGUAAUCUUAAUGGAGAACUCCGAGGUGAGGGUUGGGCUGCCAUUGGUGCUGGGAGGGGUGGGGGUGAGGAAAGGGAGAGGGUUGGUUUGGUUAGCUGUGCUGCAGAGGGUGGGGGUGGUAGGACAUGUGGAUUGAAGGGAAUUCUUGCGAAAAGGUCAAGUAGAGCUCUGGGCAUUUGAAUGUAAUAGACAGGGAUCCCUGGGUGGCGCAGCGGUUUGGCGCCUGCCUUUGGCCCAGGGCGCGAUCCUGGAGACCCGGGAUCGAAUCCCACAUCGGGCUCCCGGUGCAUGGAGCCUGCUUCUCCCUCUGCCUGUGUCUCUGCCUCUCUCUCUCUCUCUCACUGUGUGCCUAUCAUAAAUAAAUAAAAAUUAAAAAAAAAAAAAAAAAAAAAA
rnacentral:lncRNA from 12 species